AUGGUGCCGAAGAAGACGCCGAAGGGCAAGUCGGGGUUCUUCGGCGUGAGGCAGAAGCCCUCCGGUAACUGGGGUGUGGAGUUCUCCGACGCCGGAAGGCGUUGGUGGAUCGACACGUACCCCUUCGCCCACGAGGCCGUGCGUGCCUACUACGUGGCGGUGUGGCGUGCCGAGAGGCCUCGGUCGCACCUCAACUUUACAAAGAUCGAGAGUCGGGCGGUAGCGGAGAUGCUUGUGCUGCAGGGAAUCAACAUGAAGGAGAUCACGACGAAGAAGAAGAAGACGAAGAAGCCGUCGGUUGUCGUCAGUGCUGGUGAGACCGAUGAGGAGACGAUGGCGAGGUUUGCUCGGGAGCAUCCGGAGUACGUCUAG
rnacentral:rRNA from 1 species